rnacentral:tRNA from 1 species
UGUUCAGGGCUUAGUUAGUUAAAGUACCGGUCCAGCGAAUACGGAGUCGUGGGUUCGAAUCCCUCCAGAACAA